UCCCAGUUAAACUAGGCAGUCUUGUAUGAGAAAUACAACAUACAACAAGGGUUGCGCUCGUUUACGGACUUAACCGAACACCUCAAGGCACGAGCUGACGACAACCAUGCAGCACCUGUCUCCGAGUUCCUUGCGGCACUUCUGCCUUUCAGCAGAAUUCUCGGGAUGUCAAGCCUAGGUAAGGUUCCUCGCUUACUGUCGAAUUAAACCACAUGCUCCACCGCUUGUGUGGGCCCCCGUCUAUUCCUUUGAGUUUUAGCCUUGCGGCCGUACUACUCAGGCGGAGUGCUUAUUGCGUUAGCGUCGGCGCUCAAGGGAACCGAGACCCUUUGAACACCUAGCACUCAUAGUUUACGGCGUGGACUAC
rnacentral:misc_RNA from 1 species